AUUGAACGCUGGCGGCAGGCCUAACACAUGCAAGUCGAACGAGUGGCGGACGGGUGCGUAAUGUCUGGGCAACUGCCCGCUAGAGGGGGAUAACUACUGGAAACGGUAGCUAAUACCGCAUACCAUCGGAUGUGCCCAGAUGGGAGUAGCUAGUCGGUGGGGUAACGGCUCACCUAGGCGACGAUGCCUAGCUGGUCUGAGAGGAUGACCAGCCACACUGGAACUGAGACACGGUCCAGACUCCUACGGGAGGCAGCAGUGGGGAAUAUUGGACAAUGGGCGCAAGCCUGACGAAGCCAUGCCGCGUGUAUGAAGAAGGCUUUCGGGUUGUAAAGUUCUUUCAUCGAGGAGGCGGUACUUGCAGAAGAAGCACCGGCUAACUACGUGCCAGCAGCCGCGGUAAUUC
rnacentral:rRNA from 1 species